ACCACUGCAGGCUUUGGCAGCCCCCAAGGUUCAUGACAUUCACCAGCGUCACAAUGGCCUCUGAACACGAUGUCAGUGUGGGGUCACAAAGGCCUGGUGGGCAUGGCCACCCUUUUUUCCCAGAGGCCUGAUGGUUUCCAUGCUGAUGCCCCUGAAAACAAAGGCCUUUUAAAUGCUUUUCCCCCUCUACUUUGCCUACACUUGUUCAUCUUUUAAUGUCCUGCAGCUCCAUCUUUUCCCACUUUCUUUUCCUCUGCUGAUCAUCCCCAAGAAACCCUGUGCCAAAAUGCUUUUCCCACCCAGCCCACCAUGGGUCCCAGCCCUCGGCCCCAACCUCCAGUAAAAAAGAUCAUCAGAAAGGCAAAAGAUCCAUUUGAACUUAUUCUGGUGGCUUCUUUGAAAUACUGUAAACAGUGUGUUUUUUAAAACAGAUUAAUAACAAAGGAAUGCCAAGGAAAAUGUUUAUUCUUCAUUUCGUAGUGGGGAAGGUUGGAAUUAUGGUCAGGAAUAUAACUGGGGCAUCCUGGUAUUCUAUGUCAGCAAUAGCAUGGCCAGCAGGAGGAAGGCAGUGAUUGUCCCUCUGUGCUGGGCACUGGUGUGGCCACACUUCGAGUGCUGUGUGCAGAAGUGUGCCCUGUUAAGAUGUGAUUAGUGAGAGAUUCCUCUGCAUGAAUUGUGGCUUCUUCUUGCUCCCACUUUUGUGCUGGGGUCUCAUCAUUUUUGGCUGAGCCAAAAGGAGAUCCUGGCUCUAGUCCUGGACCUAGUGACUACAGGCUUUGUGGAAUGGGAAGUCUCAGUCAGAAUUAGGGCAUUUCAAUCUCAGAAUCAUAAAAUGGUGGAGCUUGGAAGGGUUUGAAAAGCCAUCUUGUUCCAACACCCAUGGCAAGGCCAGGGGAACCUUCCACUGUCCCAGGUUGCUCCAAGCCCUGUCCAACCUGGCCUUGGACACUUCCAGGGAUGGGGCAUCCACAACUUUUCUGGCUGACCUGUACCUUUGCCUCACCACUCAAAAAAUCCCAAUAAUCCAGGACAAGGGUGAAUUCUUUUGAAAUUGAGAUGGCACCUUUACGUUAGCUAUUAGGAAAAAGUUUUUUAUUGUGAGGGUGAUGAGGCCCUUGAACAAGAUGUCCAGAGAAGUUGUAGAAACCUGGAAUUCAGGUUGUGGAACCUAAUCCAGUAGAAUGUGUCUCUGCUCAUGGCAAGUGGCCAGAACUGGAUGAUUUUUAAGGUCCCUUCCAACCUAAACCAUUCCACAAUUCUGUGACUCUGUGACACUCACUCUGUCCUCCUGACAGUCACACCUUCUCUUAGACUGGGAUUGCUGUGGCUUGUCCCCUUCCCGAUGCCCGUCCUCUCCUUCCAGCCAGGCCCCCAGGGAGACACAGCUCAUCCCUGAGCUCGUUAUCUUCAGAAAACCUGGAAUAGAAGCAGCUCUGGGAAGGAACAGCCAGGAAAGCAAAGCAAGACAACACAGCAGCAAUCACUGAGAGAGAUCCUGCCUUGCCUUGUCCAGAGAAGCUGUGGCUGCCCCAUUCCUGGAAGUGUCCAAGGCCAUCUUGGACAAGGCUUGGAGCAACCUGGGACAGUGGAAGGUGGACCUGCCCAUGGCAAAGGGAAUGAGAUGAUCUUUAAGAUCCUUCCAACUCAAACCAUUCCAUGACUCUUUGAGCCCUGCAGAGUGACAAAACAACCAGGACGACAGAGCUGGCCAGCAGGACUCUCUCUGCUGACUGGGAUUAUUUGGGGUGACGUCUUCCAGCAGCAUGGAUGAGCCCAUUUGCCCCAAAAGCAGCAGGAAUCUCCACAGGUCCCACCUGUCCUGCAUCCAUCCCUGUACUCCUUCCCGAGCCUAUUUUCCCUGGGUUUGUGUGCUUUGGAGCCAGGAGAGGGCAGCAAUGCUCAUGGACAGACACAUAGUGCCGCUGCUGUCCCCGCUCCCCUCUGAGGGUCUGGCAGCGACAUCCCAGAGCCUGGAUCACGUUCAGAUGGACAGCACUGUACACAGGUGCCUCUGGCACUUCAGGCUCAGUGAGAGCAAUCAAACACUGGAACAACCUGACCAGGGAUGUAGUGGAGUCCCAGUCUUGAAGAGUUUCAAGCCCCAUCCCUGGAAGUUCCAAAAGCCAGGCUGGAAGGGGUUCUGAGCAACCUGGUCCAGUGGAAGGUGUCCCUGCUCAUGGCAAGGGGUGGAACCAGAUAAUCUUGAAGGUCCCUUCUGAACCAAACCAUUCCAUGAAACCAUGAAGAUGAAAUUGGUCAAAGUGUUAGACAAUCUCAUCAAGGAUCCCUUCUCACAUGGGGAAUGAGAGCCAUGGCCUCUUCAGAUUAAAGAUCCUACUUGCUGGACAUGGGAUGGGCACAUAAAAUCCUGGAGAUGUCCCCCUGGAUGAGUGACCUUUAGUGAAGGACGUUUCCUCAAGGUGCCUGACCUUGGACAGAAGCUCUGCCCUUGUUCUUAGCAGGUGGUGGCUGCCCGAACCCUCCAAAAUCUCCAUCUGAGUCCAUGACUCAUCUGCCAUGAUGAGCAAACUUUCCUUCCCCUUCUCCUUUCCCAAGCCAGAAUGAGCCAAAGCAUCAUUUGUUUUAACAAUAGACAGAGCAAGAGAGAUCCACGGGCAUAAAACCUGAGCUGUGGAGCUGUGCCAAUCCAAAGGCAGGCAAGGUGAGAGGGAAAUGGCAAAUGCCUCAUUGAUUUCAAGACUGCUACACGAUCCUGCCUGGGAGUCUGUGAAGCUGUUAAAAAAAAAAAAAAAACUGAAAAGGACGUGGUGUUGACUGGGAGUUGGCAGCUUCCUUUGUGCCGGCUGUUUAUUCUUAUACAAAGCAAUCCAAAUGCGGAAUGUUUACCCAAUGGAAACCCCUCGGCACUGUGUUUCCCCCUCGGAGCCUCGCACAGCUCAUUCCUCACCAGCUGGAGUUCUGCAAAACACCUUUCUUACUCACCGUGGCCACCCACAUCCAGAUGCCACCAGGCCUGAAGGAGCUUGAGGAACAGGGGUUGACCAGGACGUCUAAGCCAACAUAAAAGCCCCCGACUUGCCCUCCUGCCCUUUUUCUCCAUUUUUGCCUUUAAAUUUAUAAAAGACACGAAGUACAUUGCUUUGGUGGCAGGUUGAUACUCAGUUCUCAGGAGUUUGAUUCCCUUCUCUGCCACUGAUGUCUCCCAGGGCAAAGGGUCAUUGUCAUUAAGGCCACAUCCCUGUGAUGAGCCGUGGUGACACAUGGCUUUGCAUCCAUCAAAAGCACCGAGACUGCGGAAUUUGUAGUGCCAAAAUCUCCUCUCUCUCUAACAUGGCCCAUUAGCCAGGGCUCAAGACUAACGACUUCCCAUCAGCCAGGAAUGUGGGCAGAAGCAGCUGAUAAUUAUAGACAUCCUGCAACUCUUCCCUUACAAGCUCAGGAAAUCCUUCUGCAGGAUGAAGUUAAAAGAGAUGCUGAAGUUUUCAUCUGUAGUGAUACAGUUAUAAUAGUUCCAUGUGAAAUCCCCUAAAAUGGGGUUUUGUAGAUAACUAUAGAAUCAUAGGAUGGUUUGAGAUGGAAGGGACAUUGAAUGCUCUGAGCCCUCUCCCCCUCUGCCUCUGUAAAUAUCACCUCUCUUCUUCUGUGAAGACCCUCAUGAAGACCCUCACCACUGUCCAGGACCAUGGAUUGCUACCACUGAACCUCCUUAAAAUGCCACAGAACUGGUGAGGGUUGGAAGAAACCUUAAAGAUCCAGUUCCAACCCCCCCAGCAUCUGUUGCAUAAAGGGUGAAAUUUAUUUUGCAUGGCUUUCUCUUUCUCAGAUAUAUUUUGUGACCCACUCUGGCUCACUCUGGAAGAUUUGUUGCUUGCCUCAACUUCCCUUUCUCUUGGAAUAAAAUCUCUCUUUUCAAUUUAAACUGAUUUUUCUGAGCCCUGUUUCUGGACCCUGCAAAGUCCUGCUGUUCCCCUGUUUCCACCUUCAAAGGGAAGAGAUGACCUUGCUCAGAUCCUCUCUGGGGAAUAUCACUGAGCUUUGGAAGAAGGGAAAACCUCGUUGCUGCAGCAGCCAUCAGCUCAUGUAUAUGCCACUGUCAAUUCAUCUGAAGUCUGUUGGACAAAUUCCAGCACUCUGCAGGGAAAGAAAAAAAAAUAUAACAAAGACAAAGGAAAAAAAGGAGCUGGCAGAGAUAAUGGGAUAUGCCAGAAAUUAUUGUAUCUCUUUUUUUAUUCUGAUUCUCGAGGUUCUUUCGGGUUUUUUAUCUCCUUCAUUAAGCUGGUGUUUGGUAUUUGCAGUGGUUAGGCCCACCCUAAGCUAAUUGCCAAUCUCUUAACUAAUUGUUAACUUAGCUGUGAGGACAGAGAGAACUCGGUGCCUUUUUACAGAAUUAUUAAAUCUGGAGAAGACCUCUGAGAUCACCGAGGCCCAUCACUAACCCAGCACUGUGCUCACCACCACACCAUAUCCCUGAGCCACAUCCACACACCUUGGAGCACUUCCAGGGACUGGCGACUCCAGCACUUCCCUGGACAGCCCAUACCCAUGCUUGACCACCCUUUCACUAAAGAAAUUUGUCCUAAUAUCCCAUCCAAACCGUUCCUGGUGCAAUUUUGGGCCAUUUCUUCUUCUCCUACCUCUUUUUUAAUUGGGAGAAGAGACCGACUCCUACCUGGCUGCACUCUUCCGUCAGUUCCAGACUCCAGGCUGUUCUUUGCUUCCCAGAGGAGAAUCCUGGAUGCCCAAGGAAAUGCUCCACACACUAAAAGGACACACUCAAUGGAAACCAGUUUCCCAGGAAUUUCAGGAUGCAGGGGAGCACACUGCAGGGGUCAGGAUGGCCGAGCGGUCUAAGGCGCUGCGUUCAGGUCGCAGUCUCCCCUGGAGGCGUGGGUUCGAAUCCCACUCCUGACAACUUAUUUGCUGGCCAGAACCAUCCCACAGGGAAUUCUGCUGCCUCUCUGUGCAAGAGGCAUUCCUGGAAAUCGCCCUGGUCUGGUCCAGUCCCAGGAUUAAUACCCACUAUUGGUUGUUCAUGUUCAUAAAAAGUGUCCCUCCCACUAAUCAACACCUGUUUCAGGUGGGGUGUUAUUUUUCCAUAGGAUCAACCUGGCUCAGGUGGAGUUUUGGCUUUUCUAGUGUUUUACAGGCACUGGGGCUGGUGGUGAAAAGUGGGCUCACCUGUCUCAGGGGGGAAAAAGAGUUCUAAGCCAUGAGUUUUGGGGCUGAUUGAGGGCUUUAAACGAGGUUUGAAGGGGAAGGGGAUAAACCCAGGCUCCCUGGGUGAGCCCAGGGGCACCAUGCCAGUGUUGGGAUUGAAAUCCAUCUGCUUGUGGCAUGGAAAGCUCUAAAGAGGGAUCUGGAUAGGCUGGAUCAAUGGGCUUAGUUAAAAAAAGAAUAAAUGUGGCACUUUGUGACACAAUUUAGUGGCCAUGGUGGCAUUUGGUCAAAGACUAGAUGUGAUGAUCUUGCCAAACCUAUCAAUUCCGUGGUUCUCAAACUCAGAAAUCCUCUUCAAACCUAAACAAGACAACAUGGAAAAGAAAAAUAAAAAGCAGCAGCUGCAGCAGUUAAACCCAGAACAAUCUUUUUACUGCACCAUUUUUUCCCUAAUGUAUGUGAAGCUUCAUAACAUUUAUGCUGCAAAUUCUUUGAGAUGAUGUCUUUUAUUGAGUGUUUUAUCCAGCCCUGCAGUGUUUGAGUACUGCUGGUAGUAGAAAUAUCCUCAUCUGUCAGAGCAGGAACUCUCAGCAAUAACUGCUUCACUCCUCUUUCACAAGAAUUUUUUGGUCGUAGCUUAUCUACAAAAUCAAAUCCCAGACCCUGGAUUUCUUCCAUCAUUCAUUUUCAAAACCAGCAGCAAAUCCUUGAGAUCCUUGUGUGCCUCCCAGGCAGACAGGGGAGUCCAGCAAACAAAGGUGCACAAAAAGAGCAGGAAAACUGGUUUGUCUUGAAAGGCAAAGAAAUUGAACCAGAUGAAUCAUCCCAUCUUCACUUUCUUAAUAAGAGCAAUGCAGCAGCACUUUCUGCAGGCUCAGGUGUGCACCUUCCUUUAAACAUCAUUGCCAAAGGACCUUUUCCCUUUUCUGGGAAAAGGGAAAAAAGGUGCAGAGCUGAUGUCAGGGCAGUGAUGAAUUUCAAGUCUUAAGUUAAAAAAAUAAACUCUUCAUUUGAGACAGACAUUUUGGAAGGAAACAUUUGGCUGCUGCAAGAGCCCAAACCUAGAAGGUUUUUGUCAUGGUCAGCAUUGGCAACUUCACCACUACCCUGGGCAGCCUGUUUUGAUGUUUGACCACUCCUCCAGUGAAAUUUUUUUCCUGAUAUCCAACCUGAACCUCCCCUGGUGUACUUGAGGCCAUCUCACCUUGUCCUGUCAUUAAUUGUGUGGGAGAAGAUGCCAAGCCUUGUCUCUAAUUAGAAUUAGAAUAUCCGAGUGCAAAAGUUUUCUCAAUAUCAGAUGUUCUGGUGCAAUCAGCAAUGAGAUGGUUCCCCAAAACUGCUGCUGAACAGAGAGGAUUGAGUGUUUUGGGAUCAGCUGACUCCACUGUGGAAUGGUGCUGGUCCAGCACAUCAAAAUACCAAGCAAGUGUUGGUAAACUGCUGAGGAUGGUGGAGAGCAACUCAGUAUUUCAGAAGUCAGGAGGGAGAUGAGAUUAAAAGGAAACAAUGUGUGCAAUUUGUCUAAUCCAUGACUAAGGGGAGCUGAACUGUCCACAGGCAUUUGCAGAAUGUAAAACCAACAAAGAAUGAGAAAGACUGGGUUAGAGAGGAACAAAUAAUGUUAUUAGGAGCAGUGGGAAAUGAAAGAAAAUACAGCCUGAACUGCUUGGAAUUUAAUGCAUUCUUCUGUAGACAUUCCUGUUAUGUAACAUUUGUGUUAAAAACUUCAUCUUUCCAAAAAUGUCAGGGGUUUUACAGAAUAACUGAUGAUAAUUCAUCAUCUUUUGUUGUUAUUGUUGUUUGUAAAUAGAAACAGCCAAAAAAAAUUUCUAGCGUUCAGUGAUGGACUUGAAAAGAAACACCAUCUGUAGACUAAUUUUUAAUAAACAGGAUUAUAUAAUAAAAAAACAUUUGGUUGGAA